CGAGCUGGGUUUAGAACGUCGUGAGACAGUUCGGUCCCUAUCCGCUGCGCGCGUUGGAAAUUUGAGAAGAUCUAUCCCUAGUACGAGAGGACCGGGAUGGACGAACCUCUGGUGUGUCAGUUGUUCUGCCAAGGGCACCGCUGAUUAGCUACGUUCGGACCGGAUAACCGCUGAAAGCAUCUAAGCGGGAAGCCGUCUUCGAGAUGAGAUUUCCAUGCACCUUGAGUGUGAGAGGCUCCCAGCAGACUACUGGGUUGAUAGGCCGGAUGUGGAAGCGGGGACUAACGACCCGUGGAGCUGACCGGUACUAAUAAGCCGAAGACUUGACAA
rnacentral:rRNA from 1 species